UAGAUGUCAUGGGGGCAGCCAUUUUGAAAUGAGCAGGAAAAGCCCUUCUACUGCCCCUAGUGGAAUGAUAAGGAACUGCACAGCAGGAAGCAUGACCUGCAUCACAUACAAUGGGUUUUUAAGGAAAGUUUUGAUUAUGCUAAUGAGAUGGGGGUCUCAGAUUUAUGUGUAUAAAAUAUGAUACUAAUGGUUACACAGGGUUAAAGGUUAAAACAGGAAAUUGUUAGUUAAAAUAACAUUUUUUCUAGCGAAAUGAGGCGACUUCUGGUUCUAGUCAAGGACAUCCGGUUCAUGUCCUCGUGUGGAUUUUUGCAUGUUUGAUUGACAGUAUAAACAAACUGGAUCAGAUUAGUGAGAGGUUCCUUUAAGCUGUGAUGCUCCUGAUUCAAAGCCAAACAGGAAUGGGAGCAGGAAGAACUCACAGUCCAUUUCACGGGUGUUUUAAACGCUCAUGAGGUGAAUCUGUAUUAUGGCGAAGGGGCGACAGUUUGCCGUCUGUGCCGCACUAAAGCUGCAGUGAGAGUGACCUUUAUCUGAGCGCAGACUUUCCCGCUGAAUUGAUUCCAUAACUGCUUUUCCAUCUUAAAUCACGAUGACCUUUAGCAGCAGAAUCCCGUUCCACCGACAUGCUGUCGAUGACGAUGUACGUUCCCGUGCGGCCGACCCCAGCACUACAGAGCACAGCGCAAACUGAUGUGAGCGGCUCCGCCGGAAGCUUUCGUCCCACCGAGCGGCGCCGAUGAUGACGUUACCUGCAGUGUACCAGGACCGGGCCCAUGUCCGCCGUUCGAGCUGCAGAGGAGCGGUUGAUGAAGGUGAGGACGGGCAGCGUGUACUCUGGGACUCCCAUGUCAGGCCACUGAGUGUAGUGAAACUGGACCACCACGCGCUCGUUCAGCUUCACUUUAGGGUUUCCCUUCUGACACUGAAACGAUGGAGGAGAUGAAAAUGGAGUUUAAACAGAACCAUCUUAGAUCCAGCUGUACUUUCUCUCAACUGCUAGGAAUUCAUGGAAUUUCAGUGGAGAAAAGGAGAUUUUUACAUUCAGUAUAGUAUAGUUUGCAAUAUAAAUAAAUUUGUGGUUAAUUAAUGGUGCAGAACAGACAAAGGUCAGAGGAUUUUUUGCAUUUUAAAAGCCUCAACAAACCAAAUAACUGUACUUACAAUAAAAUAAUUUGAAAUAA